rnacentral:rRNA from 1 species
UACGAAGGGUGCAAGCGUUACUCGGAAUUACUGGGCGUAAAGGGUGCGUAGGUGGUUUGUUAAGUCUGCUGUGAAAUCCCCGGGCUCAACCUGGGAAUGGCAGUGGAUACUGGCAAGCUAGAAUGCGGUAGAGGGUAGUGGAAUUCCCGGUGUAGCAGUGAAAUGCGUAGAGAUCGGGAGGAACACCAGUGGCGAAGGCGAGUCUCUGGACAUUUCCUGACGCUGAGGCACGAAAGCCAGGGGAGCAAACGGG